AUCAUUCUACUUGAAACUACCACAUGGAUCAUGGCAUCAUAGGCCGUCAUGACACUACAUAUAAAAAGAAAGGUAAAGAAAACAAUCUAUUUUGGGAAAAUGGAGGAAGUGAGAUGCUUCCCUUAAAUUUGUUGAAAAGAGUAGUGAAUGGGAACAAUAGAGUGGAGGUUCAUAUAAUGGUGUUUCCAGAAGGUAAAAAUAGAAAAGAGUUACAAUAACUUAUUACAUUCAACAUGAAAGAACUACAUAAGAUUUGUAGCUUUUAAGCUCGACAUCUAUGUUAAAAACUCUACUAAUUGACAUAAUUUAAUUGAGUUGAACGGCUCGUGA
rnacentral:lncRNA from 1 species